rnacentral:rRNA from 1 species
CUUAGAGUUUGAUCCUGGCUCAGGACCUUCGCUGGCGGUAUGCUUAACACAUGCAAGUCGAACGGUGUCUUCGGACAUAGUGGCGGACGGGUGAGUAGCGCGUGAGAAUCUAGCUUUCAGGUCUGGGACAACCACUGGAAACGGUGGCUAAUACCGGAUGUGCCGGAAGGUGAAAGGCUUGCUGCCUGAAGAUGAGCUCGCGUCCGAUUAGCUAGUAGGUGGGGUAAGAGCCUACCUAGGCGACGAUCGGUAGCUGGUCUGAGAGGAUGACCAGCCACACUGGGACUGAGACACGGCCCAGACUCCUACGGGAGGCAGCAGUGGGGAAUUUUCCGCAAUGGGCGAAAGCCUGACGGAGCAAUACCGCGUGAGGGAGGAAGGCUCUUGGGUUGUAAACCUCUUUUCUCAGGGAAGAACACAAUGACGGUACCUGAGGAAUCAGCAUCGGCUAACUCCGUGCCAGCAGCCGCGGUAAUACGGAGGAUGCAAGCGUUAUCCGGAAUGAUUGGGCGUAAAGCGUCCGCAGGUGGCUGUGUAAGUCUGCUGUCAAAGAGCAAAGCUCAACUUUGUAAAGGCAGUGGAAACUACACGGCUAGAGUGCGUUCGGGGCAGAGGGAAUUCCUGGUGUAGCGGUGAAAUGCGUAGGGAUCAGGAAGAACACCGGUGGCGAAGGCGCUCUGCUAGGCCGCAACUGACACUGAGGGACGAAAGCUAGGGGAGCGAAUGGGAUUAGAUACCCCAGUAGUCCUAGCUGUAAACGAUGG